rnacentral:sRNA from 1 species
CUGUGAAGUUGUCUUCCGCAACGAGAGCCACGUCAGCUGCCAGUGCAACCACAUGACGAGCUUCGCUGUGCUCAUGGAUGUUUCUCGGCGGGAGAAUGGGGAGAUCCUGCCACUGAAGACACUGACAUACGUGGCUCUAGGUGUCACCUUGGCCGCCCUUCUGCUCACCUUCUUCUUCCUCACUCUCUUGCGUAUCCUGCGCUCCAACCAACACGGCAUCCGACGUAACCUGACAGCCGCCCUGGGCCUGGCUCAGCUGGUCUUCCUCCUGGGAAUCAACCAGGCUGACCUCCCUGUAAGAUACUCCUACUGCCCAGAAACUGUCCCCACCUUCUCAGGCUCCCUCCCCAGCCCCCACUGGCAACCCCUGCUCCUGCACCAUGAACUCUAAUAAGGUGCCUAGUGCAGCACCUGGCCCAGGGUUUCCUCUUCUCCAGCUCCCCCGGGAUCCCCCAGCACCUGCCUCUGGCCCAGGCUUCCCUGGAAGCAGUUCCCAACACCCAGGCCCUCCUCCCUGCCUGACCCGAAGCAGAGCCUGUGCUCUGGGCGGGCCCCAGUCACUGACCUGCCCUGGCCUGGGCCCUCAGUUUGCCUGCACAGUCAUUGCCAUCCUGCUGCACUUCCUGUACCUCUGCACCUUUUCCUGGGCUCUGCUGGAGGCCUUGCACCUGUACCGGGCACUCACUGAGGUGCGCGACGUCAACACCGGCCCCAUGCGCUUCUACUACAUGCUGGGCUGGGGCGUGCCUGCCUUCAUCACAGGUACCCCUACCCAUUCCCAGUCUUGGGGUCCCACAUCCCUGGGUCCACCUUUGUGCCAUGUUCUCUCCACCCACAUACAGGCCCUGAGGCCCCACAUCCCCAUGCCCCAGGCCACCUUAUUCACAGGUGUCCCUCUGGUUUAACCCAGACUCUGCGGCCGCCACCCAGGCAUCACUCCCCUAUCCUGGGGAGGAUGGCAGGGGCCGAUGGUGGGCAGAACCCUUUUCCAUGCUUCGUGCCUGGCCCUGUGAGCCCACCUGCCUGCAGCCCUACUUCCCAGGCCCCUCAUCACCCCUCCACUGCUCCCGUCUGUCUCCAUGCUCCAGGGCUAGCCGUGGGCCUGGACCCCGAGGGCUAUGGGAACCCUGACUUCUGCUGGCUCUCCAUCUAUGACACGCUCAUCUGGAGUUUUGCUGGCCCGGUGGCCUUUGCCGUCUCGAUGAGUGUCUUCCUGUACAUCCUGGCGGCCCGGGCCUCCUGUGCUGCCCAGCGGCAGGGCUUUGAGAAGAAAGGUCCUGUCUCGGGCCUGCAGCCCUCCUUCGCCGUCCUCCUGCUGCUGAGCGCCACGUGGCUGCUGGCACUGCUCUCUGUCAACAGCGACACCCUCCUCUUCCACUACCUCUUUGCUACCUGCAAUUGCAUCCAGGUACCUGGCCCAGCCUGUGGAGAAGGGAGGCACCUGGGCUGUGGGUGCCUGAAUAUGCACAGACCGUUGCUGCCUCUUGCCUGCCAGGGCCCCUUCAUCUUCCUCUCCUAUGUGGUGCUUAGCAAGGAGGUCCGGAAAGCACUCAAGCUUGCCUGCAGCCGCAAGCCCAGCCCUGACCCUGCUCUGACCACCAAGUCCACCCUGACCUCGUCCUACAACUGCCCCAGCCCCUACGCAGAUGGGCGGCUGUACCAGCCCUACGGAGACUCGGCCGGCUCUCUGCACAGCACCAGCCGCUCGGGCAAGAGUCAGCCCAGCUACAUCCCCUUCUUGCUGAGGUGAAUCCCGGAGAUGGGAGGGUGGAGGAGGGGAGGAGGGGCCCACGCAUGCUGGACCCAGGCCAGCCAGCCAUUGGGAGUUGAGGAGCACACACUGUGGCUGACAUGGGGGCCAGCUUGGAUUAGAAGCUGUAAGGGACCCACGGCAGGAACCAGGAUCCCAGGGGAGAGGAGAGACUGGGACCCUGGGCAAGGGGCCAGGCUGACCCCUCCAGCAUGGUCUCGUCUUCCUAGGGAGGAGUCCACACUGAACCCUGGCCAAGGGCCCCCUGGCCUGGGGGAUCCAGGCAGUCUGUUCCUGGAAGGUCAAGACCAGCAGCAUGAUCCUGACACGGACUCUGACAGUGACCUGUCCUUAGAAGACGACCAGAGUGGCUCCUAUGCCUCUACCCACUCAUCAGACAGUGAGGAAGAAGAAGAGGAAGAGGAAGAGGAGGCCGCCUUCCCUGGAGAGCAGGGCUGGGAUAGCCUGCUGGGGCCUGGAGCAGAGAGACUGCCCCUGCACAGUACUCCCAAGGAUGGGGGCCCAGGGCCUGGCAAGGCCCCCUGGCCAGGAGACUUUGGGACCACAGCAAAAGAGAGUAGUGGCAACGGGGCCCCUGAGGAGCAGCUGCGGGAGAAUGGAGAUGCCCUGUCUCGAGAGGGGUCCCUAGGCCCCCUUCCAGGCUCUUCUGCCCAGCCUCACAAAGGCAUCCUUAAGAAGAAGUGUCUGCCCACCAUCAGCGAGAAGAGCAGCCUCCUGCGACUCCCCCUGGAGCAAUGCACAGGGUCUUCCCGGGGCUCCUCCGCCAGUGAGGGCAGCCGGGGCGGCCCCCUUCCCCGCCCACCGCCCCGGCAGAGCCUCCAGGAGCAGCUGAACGGGGUCAUGCCCAUCGCCAUGAGCAUCAAGGCAGGCACCGUGGAUGAGGACUCGUCAGGCUCCGAAUUUCUCUUCUUUAACUUCCUGCAUUAACCCUGGGCCGUGGUUCCUACGCCCGAGGCUCCCUUCCCUUCCCCAGCCGCACUCAUGCCCUGCUCCUGUCUUGUGCUUUAUCCUGCCCCGCUCCCCAUCGCCUGCCCGCAGCAGCGACGAAACGUCCAUCUGAGGAGCCUGGGCCUUGCCGGGAGGGGUACUCACCCCACCUAAGGCCAUCUAGUGCCAACUCCCCCCCCCCACCAUUCCCCUCACUGCACUUUGGACCCCUGGGGCCAACAUCUCCAAGACAAAGUUUUUC